AACGAACGCUGGCGGCGUGCUUAACACAUGCAAGUCGAACGGUAAGGCCCUUCGGGGUACACGAGUGGCGAACGGGUGAGUAACACGUGGGUGAUCUGCCCUGCACUUCGGGAUAAGCCUGGGAAACUGGGUCUAAUACCGGAUAGGACCACUGCCUGCAGGGGUGGUGGUGGAAAGCUUUUGCGGUGUGGGAUGGGCCCGCGGCCUAUCAGCUUGUUGGUGGGGUGAUGGCCUACCAAGGCGACGACGGGUAGCCGGCCUGGGAGGGUGACCGGCCAAGCUGGGACUGAGAUACGGCCCAGACUCCUACGGGAGGCAGCAGUGGGGAAUAUUGCACAAUGGGCGCAAGCCUGAUGCAGCGACGCCGCGUGGGGGAUGACGGCCUUCGGGUUGUAAACCUCUUUCAGCACCGACGAAGCGCAAGUGACGGUAGGUGCAGAAGAAGGACCGGCCAACUACGUGCCAGCCGCCGCCGUAA
rnacentral:rRNA from 1 species